AUUGAACGCUGGCGGCAGGCCUAACACAUGCAAGUCGAACGAGUGGCGGACGGGUGAGUAAUGUCUGGGAAACUGCCCGAUGGAGGGGGAUAACUACUGGAAACGGUAGCUAAUACCGCAUACCAUCGGAUGUGCCCAGAUGGGAUUAGCUUGUAUGUGAGGUAACGGGUCACCUAGGCGACCAUCCCUAGCUGGUCUGAGAGGAUGACCAGCGACACGGGAUGUGAGACACGGGCCAGACUCCUAGGGGGGGCAGCAUUGGUGAAUAUUGCACAGUGGGCGCAAGGCUGAUGCAGCCAGGCCGCUUGUAUGAAGAAGGCCUUCAGGUUGUAAAGUACUUUCAGCGGGGAGGCGUUACCCGCAGAAGAAGCACCGGCUAACUCCGUGCCAGCAGCCGCGUAAUAC
rnacentral:rRNA from 1 species